rnacentral:rRNA from 1 species
CCUUGACAUACUAAGAACUUUCCAGAGAUUGGAUUGGUGCCUUCGGGAACUUAGAUACAGGUGCUGCAUGGCUGUCGUCAGCUCGUGUCGUGAGAUGUUGGGUUAAGUCCCGNAACGAGCGCAACCUUUUCCUAUUUGCCAGCGGGUCAUGCCGGGAACUUUAAGGAUACUGCCAGUGACAAACUGGAGGAAGGCGGGGACGACGUCAAGUCAUCAUGGCCCUUACGGCCAGGGCUACACACGUGCUACAAUGGUCGGUACAAAGGGUUGCUACCUCGCGAGAGGAUGCUAAUCUCAAAAAGCCGAUCGUAGUCCGGAUCGCAGUCUGCAACUCGACUGCGUGAAGUCGGAAUCGCUAGUAAUCGCGGAUCAGAAUGCCGCGGUGAAUACGUUCCCGGGCCUUGUACACACCGCCCGUCACACCAUGGGAGUUUGUUGCACCAGAAGUAGGUAGUCUAACCGCAAGGAGGACGCUUACCACGGUGUGGCCGAUGACUGGGGUGAAGUCGUAACAAGGUAAGCGUAGAUGA